UACGUAGGGUGCGAGCGUUGUCCGGAAUUAUUGGGCGUAAAGGGCUCGUGGGCGGUUUGUCACGUCGGGAGUGAAAACUCAGGGCUUAACCCUGAGCCUGCUUCCGAUACGGGCAGACUAGAGGUAUGCAGGGGAGAAUGGAAUUCCUGGUGUAGCGGUGAAAUGCGCAGAUAUCAGGAGGAACACCGGUGGCGAAGGCGGUUCUCUGGGCAUUACCUGACGCUGAGGAGCGAAAGUGUGGGGAGCGAACAGG
rnacentral:rRNA from 1 species